UUGAAUCCAAUUUAGGACCAUUAAUCAGGCCCAAUUUUCCUUAAACCCAGCCCAUGUAACCCUUUUCCCCUUUCUCUCCUCUCUUUCCAUGAGACUCACGCGCAGAACUCCAAUUCAGAGAAGAGCGACGCGAGUACACACCCUAUACAUACAUACGCGUCCUCUUCCUUAUCCUCUCCGUAAGCGGAACCUUCGAGAUGAGAUGUAGUUGUCUUAAUCUCAUCACCUCACUGGUUCUUCGACUUGAAAUCGUCAGUUCUCAUUCUCAAGCCGUUGAGAAUUUGUUCCAAUUCAUACUAAUUCCAGGUGGUCGAAUCUUAUCUCAAAAGAAAGGUUUGAAUUUCGAAUUUGAAUCUCAAAAAUUUCACCCGAAUUCCCCCCCCCCCCCCCAAUCUCCCUAGUUUUCCUCUAUAAAUGCCCCUUACUUCACUGAUUCGAGGAGGAGGGGGAGGAGACGAGAUUUUUACCAUAAAAAAUAGGUUUUUUGGGGACGGUUUUUUGAGAGGCUAAGAAAAGAACACCCCGUUGUUUGGGAGUUUUAAAUUUUUCUAGAAAGUUUUUCUCUCCCUCGGCUGUCCUAGAGCUCGAGUUCCGGUUCGCUGCCCAGAAUCAGAGAGAAGACGAGAACAUACCUGUGGACGAUGGAAGCAGCUCAAAUUGCUUCAGGUACAUCCAGGACCUGCAGUAUCCAAAAAGCUAAAUAUGACCCCUCAUGGUGUUCUCCAUCACCACCAAACUUCAAACAACUUGAAGAAUCCAAGAACUACAGCUUGGUUCAUCCAAGAGUUGCUGAACAAGCUGACCAACACCAUUAACAAAUUUCAAGAUUUCUAAUGGACAUUGCAGACUUGCAGUGCUGCAGCAGUUGAUCUAAUUCAUGAAGUUCUUCCAUAUCCAAAGGGAGCACUACAUGGUGCAAACACCUUGCAGCAGCUCUUAGCAACCUGUAACACAUUGCAGAGCUGCAACAUCUACAACAACAGCACCCAACAACCUUCAACACCUUGCAGAGCUGCAGACUUGCAGCAAACUGCAACAUCCAGCAACAAAUCCUUAAACUACAUAACAACAACUUCAGCAUCCAACAAUUGUAACAUCUUUAGCAACCAACAAUUACAACAACUUCAGCAUCUAACAACAGUUGAGCUACUCUUGGAGUUUUUCCAUUUGUAUAAAUAACCCCAUGAAGCUUCUCAGACAAUGCAGUGAUGCAGCACCCAGCAACAACAACACCCAACAACAUGUACCUCAACUACACAGCUACCUACACAGCUCCAACACAAUCAUACUUGGAAGUUGGAACCUGCAACAUCCAACAACUAGCAGCAUCUGCAAACCUGCAACAGUGGAUCAAACAAAGAAGGGAUUUUUUUCUAAAUUCAGACAGUUCAGCAGCGGCAGCAGCACUGCUGAAACUGUGGCAGCAUCACAGUUCAGCAGCAGCAGCUCAGUUUCGAGCUCUCAAUAUUAAAGUGUAGCAACACAUAUUAAAGUGACAACAAUUAGCUAAAAUACCAUAGAAAGCUCAAAGUUUCAACAACUAUCUUUCUAAGAUAGUAAUUUGCAGGGAGUGAAACAAAUAUUCAUAUAGUUAAUUAUGUAAAAUUACCCUUUU